rnacentral:lncRNA from 1 species
AGGAAGGCAAAGGUGACGGAGGCAGUGGAUCUUGAGCACAGGUUGGUGCCGGACCCGUUCGAACCGCACACCCCGGAAACGUCGAUCAGUGUGGCUGUGGCGGAUGCGGCCGAGAUCAGGAAGUAAGUGCUCAUCUGCCAAAGAAAGAUCAACCAUGAGAAUCAAUCUCAUCCGCAUUGCGUUGGUUUGGACCUGGUCGCAGAUGAAUGUCGCGUAUUGGUACAGGGGAGUCACCCCAGACGAAGACGUGGCGCCGCGGAUCACGCACCAAAGCGAGAAACUUAGCUGCGCCAAAGCGUACGCGCAUGCCAAAACACCGAUGGCCACCGUGUAGCUGCAAAGAAGAGCACUCGCAACUUUGAGUCCGUCGUUCGUUGGUGUGUGCGAGAUCGCGCGAGAGAGGGGAGGGAAUUGGGGCAUUCGCAGAGAAUUGGGACAUACCUCAAGGAUUUGAUUGAUCCUUGGACGUCGUGAAGGAGAUCCGCCAUGACCGAGAAUGCGAUGAGCGAGAAGACGAAUUGGAGCACCCGGAGCACCACAAUCGCGGGCUUCUUCCAGUAGAUCUGGGCCAAGUAGACACGCGACGGGACAUAGGGCGAUGGGGGAGCAUCGAAUUUGGUGCUUUGCUGCUGUGAUUCUUCCAUCGAUUGGAUUACCAAAAUUCCCCUAGCUCGGUCGAUCCUAGGCUAGGCAGCGCUGCGUAUAAAACCCAGAUUUCACCAAGGAAACACCCAAGUUGCCGACUUUGUACGUCGCGCAUGCACGAUUGUGUGUAGCCGCUCUCCAGGACAUGAUUAACAUGGACACUUGCAAAAGUCCACGACGACGCGGGGGAGAAAAGAUUAAAUUACCAAACCGCGACAUUCUUGAAACCUCUUCUAUCACGUUGUCAUGGUCCAAAACUUUGCCAAAGGCACCUUCCAUUGCAGCUCGCUAAAGUACUG